rnacentral:lncRNA from 1 species
UUCGUGUAUAACUGUGUGGGUGUAUGAAUAAAGUUUUGUCUUCGCGUACGUGGGUGUCUGCGCUUUUUGCACAUAUGAAUAAAUAUAUGCAUUUGCGUAUACGUAUUUAUAUAUGCGCAUUUUGUGCAUUUGUGGGUGUAUAUUUAUGCAUGUGUAUAUGUAUGUUGUACAUCAAGAGUAAUUAUUUUCUUCUUUAUGGUUCAUUGAACUGUGUCGGGCAUAAAAUAAAUGUCUGAGUUAUUUAUUCCUACACGUUGUCAUCAGUGAUAUGUUGGUUGCUAAGAAAAAACAAAGAACAAAGGAGCGUUUGUAUUGGUAGUCACAUAUUGAUAGCCGUUUGAAAGGAAGAACACAAAGAAGCGAAUAAUUUAAAAAAUAUAUCAAGUUUAAAAGGGUAACAAAUGGAAGAAGAAAAUAUAUCGUGGCAUUGGGAGGUGCCAAUGCAGAUGCAAGCUGACACAGACGCCCUUUAAAAUAUCCUUUCUCUCAAUCAGUGAAACUUCUAGGACAUGACUGGUGAAGACAAAGAAGCCUGAUGCAUGCGACUGAUAGAUAUCUGAGCAGAAGAGACAUGAAGAACGUUUAAUAUGAUGUAGCAAACGAAACCACAAACUUUGGAAGCAGACGACCCAUUAAGCACCAAUUUCCAUCUACCAAAUGUAUUCACAAGGCUUCGGUUGGCCCGGGCUAUAGUACAUGACAUUUGCCUAAAGUGCACCGCAGCGAGACUGAACCUGGGACUAUGUGGUUGGAAAGCAAACUUCUUACCACACAAUUAAACUGAGAAGCAAUUUCGAUCAACUUUUUGAAAUAUCAUUAUUUAAAUCUCAAGGCUUCGGUCGGCCCGGGGUUAUAGCGUAUGACAUUUGCCUAAGAUGUACCGCAACGAGACUGAACCUGAGACCAUGUGGCUGGAAAAUAAAAACCC